rnacentral:rRNA from 1 species
UUGGGAGACCUUCAUGGGUGACGCUCACGAGAAGCCUUUGUGGCCCCGCAAGGGGUGCCCGCCGCGACUGUAAAGAAUGGAACGCGGGCAUUAAAUCGCAAGUCAGCUGCACCUGUAGCUGGCCACACUUUCGAAUUGCGGGGACAUCCUAAAGCCCAUCUCUACCAACCAGCCUGAGAAAUCUCGUUGGGGCCUGUGCCAACCGCACGGGAGAAGGUAAUAACGAGUUGGGAUAAGCCAGCUAUUUCGCUGGCACCGUGGAUAAUCCGCAGCCAAGUCCUAAGGCCCCGCUCGGGGCUACGGAAAAGGUUCACAGACUAAGUGGAAGUGGGCUGGAUUUGAAAAAUUCAGCUUAAGAUAUAGUCGGGCUCUGUGCGAGAGCGCAGAGGAGUCACAACCGUUCCGUAGGUGAACCUGCGGAAGGAUCAUUACCAAAGAGUGAGAAAUCACUUUCUACCUGCUCGGUGGCCCUCGGGUCGCUGACUGGUCUACCCUUUGUGAACCAAAAAACUGUUUCGCUUCGGCAGCUGGGCUUGACCGCCCGUCAGCCUGCCGCUAGCACCAACCUUUGAAACCUGUUGUCGAAACAUUGUCUGAUAACCAAAUUUUCGAAUGAAAAUCAAAACUUUCAACAACGGAUCUCUUGGUUCCCCCAUCGAUGAAGAACGCAGCGAAACGCGAUAGUUAAUGUGAAUUGCAGAAUUCAGUGAAUCAUCGAGUCUUUGAACGCACAUUGCGCCCAUCGGUAUUCCUUUGGGCAUGUCUGUUUGAGCGUCAUUACAACCCUCAGCCAACCGCUGGUCAUGAGCCUGCUCGGUUGAAAAACCGGACCGGUUCCAAAGUUGUAAGCUCUGCUGGCCGUUCAGCCCAACCAGAACAUAGUAAAAACACUGCUUGUUAGGGUGAAGCCGGACAGGUACGGCCUGAACAAAACCUACCCACUUCUAAGGUUGACCUCAGAUCAGACAAGUACCCGGUUC